UUAUUUCUCUCUCCCCCUCUGUUCUCACCCACGUCUUCUCCUCAUUCCCUUUUUAUCUCUCUCUCUCUUUCUCUCUCUCUUCUUCUUCCAUACCCUCCCUCUUCGCUCGCUCCCCACCCUGCUCUCUAGUGUCAGCUCGCAAGGUAAAUACAUCAAAGCCAGUUAAUUGUGGAAAAAAAAUGCAGUGUUUGGACAAAAUAAGUUGCAGUUUAUUCAUGCCAAAAGAAAUAGGUUGUAGUUUACAGCAAUUUUUGGUACACACUUACCUUUUUUCUCUCUUUCAUUUGCAAUUUUUUUUUUUGGGUUCAGCAACAAAGAAAUUUGGUUAAUAAAUUGAAAGAUAAUAUUGAAGAGAAGGUGGAGGUCAAGAAGUCAUUUUUAACAGUUUUUGCUAUUUUUUUAAGUUCAUUUCCAUGUCCUGUUACUGUUGCCACUUAAUAGUUUAUUUAUUAUUAGGUCAGUUGGUCUUCUCUCUCUAUUAAUGCAUGGGCUACAUUCUACUGUUUGUGAAUGCAUAGGACACAUUCCAAGCUCAUCAUUGGUUAGUUGUAUACAUAUGUGUCAAAACCCUUUAAUAGUAAUUCUGCUAACUGUGUCUCUGUAUCUAAUUUUUUUGGCUUGCUAAUCAAACAUGCACACACUUACCUUUUCUCUCUCUUUCAUUUGCAACAAUUUUUUUUUUGGGUUCGGCAACAAAGAAAUUUGGUUAAUAAGUUAAAAGAGAAUAUUCAAGAGAAGAUGGAGGUCAAGAAGUCAUUUUCAACUGUUUUUGGUAUUUUUUAAAGUUCAUUUCCAUGUUCUGUUACUGUUGCCACUUAAUAGUUUAUUUAUUAUUAGGUCAGCUGGUCUUCUCUCUCUAUUAAUGCAUGGUGCUGCACCAUGUUUUGCUAUGAAGAAAUCUGCAACUGACUAAUCAUCCUCUAAUUUACAGCAAUUUUAGUAUAAUACAAAAGAAUUAGUUUCAACCAAACUAAUAAAUAGUUCCAAAUUAAUAAAUGUAAAUCUUCAUCCACUUUUCAUGAGAUAACAUACAAGAUAACAAAAUUUCAAGAAUUUGCUAAGUAAUUAAAGCACACAAAAAAAGGAACUCAUAUCCUAUCGCGCUUCCAUUAUAGAAAUGGUCAAAUUAUUUAGUGAACAAUCUUUUGACAUGCCCUCAUUUGAAGUGUAGUAUGAUUGCACUUUCAAGUUGCAACAUCUACUUGCAGUGUAGUAUGGUUGUGGUGAUAGUAACAUAUCAUUUGGUAAUAUCGGUACCCAAUUUCUUUCUCACUGUAAUAGUAUUGUUCAGUAAAAUUUCUUUGCAAUCUGUGUGCUAAGUUUGAAGAAGCCCAUGGAGAGUUCUAAAACCAAUCUAUUUGCAUAGGUAGUUUUUAGGAAUUGGCUGUUCUUUAUCAUUUGUCUAAUGCUAGCUAUUGCACCAAUGAUCUCUUACUUGCUUUGUAUCUUCAAGUGAUUAACAAUUUUAAUUGUGUUUUUACUAUUGCAUUUACUUAAUUUUGAUGUUCUUUAUUUUUGAUAUCAUUCAUUUUGCAAAUAUUAGGCAUGCUUUUAUUAUUUAUGUUAAAACCCAAACUUCUAUUGUUCUUUCAAGUUUAAUGCCCUACAACUUAGUAGGAUUAUAUUACCUGUUUAUUGUUCUUUCAAGUUUAACGCCCUACAACUUAGUAAGAUUAUAUUACUUGUUUAUUGUUCUUUUAAGUUUAACGCAUUUUUUUUCCAUUGUUGAUUAUGAAAACUUAUAGGGCACUAAUUAUGUCCUUUUUCCACAUGUACUGAAUCAAAUAAGUUUUUACUUCUCCUUCUGUUAGCACAUAUGGGCUCCAACCAAUUGAAGUUUCUUCCUAAUAUUUAAGAAAGGAAAGGUGAACAAUAGUUGUUUUGUCUGACCUCCCAUUUGAUUAUUUAAGCUUUAUAUAUAUAAUCCAACCCCCAGUUGCUAAAUUGGAAGAAACAGUAUGAAUUAGGCUUGAUGAUUAUAUUCUAUGCUGUUUGAUUGUUGCAUUGAAGUGCAUGACUGGUUUGAGUUUUAUCUUGCAGUAUAAUUUUGAAACUCGAAAAACAUUUUUUGCUUCUUUUGCUAGGUGCUCUCUGCAGGUACUGUUUCAGACCCAUUGUUUAUUAUAUAGAUUUAUGUUAGAUCUGUAACUCUUUUCCAAAAAGUUUGCCUUAUUGUACUGAGUGCUUAAUACAUGCACUAUUUUUUUUUUCCCCAUUAUUUAUAGAUCGGCAUUAUGGAUUAAUGAAGAAAUUAAAUUGUUGUAAACCAAGGUAGUGCCACUGAAUUUUAGUAAUUCAGUAAAGGGGAAAUUGCACCAAUAAUAGCUAUUCAUCAUUAUUUACAUCGUGCCUUUAGUUAUAGGCAUACGCUAGUAUAUAUAUAACUUAAAAAAUGUAACAAAUCUAUCUAUACUAUUAGAAGGAAUAAAUUAGUUUAGUGAAACCUUAUUCUCCUUGUGUUAUGUGGCAACUUUAUAUAUGCUAAAAUAAAAUAUAAAAAAAUUAUUAUACACAGCGUAAACAAGUUUUGAAUCCAAGAUUUGGGUUCCAUUAAGAACAUACUUAUCACUUAAGCAACAUAUAUAUAUAUAUAUUAUGAUAUUAAAUUCUUUAUUAUUUAUUUUUAUUAUUAGUCAUCUAAAUUGCACAUGUAUUGUGUGCGCUGUCUGCUAGUUCUAUGUAGAAGCCCAAAUUAGUAUUGACACUUUUUAUUUUCAAAUUAUUGAUCUGUAAUUAAAAAUUGAAUAAUAAGUUUUAUUUAUUUAUUUUAUUUUAUUAAAAACUAUCUACUCAAUCUAUAAUGAUCAAUUUUAUUUUCUGAAAAAUGUAUGAGAUCGUCAAAAAACUUUUAGUACAAUUUUAUUCACAAUGAUAUGUCAAGAUAGGUGUUAACUUUUGAUUUGUUAUACACCUAAUGCUUGAGACCCUAUUCACUUGCUAUAUCAUUGUAGAUGAAUUUGUGGGUCAAAUGUAGGGCUAGGCAUAAGGUUAUCCGAACCGCCCAAUCCGCCUAACCUGAAUCAAUCUGCAUACAAAUGGACGAUUUCACAGGCACAAUGCGAGCGAAUGUGGUUUGGAAUAUGGCAUGAUUGCGGGUUGCGAAUUUAACUUGCACUCGCAAGAAUUCCCUCGCACUUAGACUUUAAUUGUAUUGUUGGUAUUUUUGGAUGAAUGUAAAAGUUAAUGAAGAAUUACUUUUAAAUAAGUUUAGAAUUUUGAUUGAUUUUACUUUAAUUGUAUUGUUGGGUAGUAGAUACUAAAUGAGAUUGGUGAUCUAGUUUAGAAUUUUGAAA